rnacentral:misc_RNA from 1 species
AAGUCGUAACAAGGUUUCCGUAGGUGAACCUGCGGAAGGAUCAUUAACACGUUAUCCACGUCAACCUUCGUGCACCCAUUCCGUUUCGGGGGCGGCCUGUUGGGAUUCCGAAAGGAGUUCGAAUUGCGCUGUCCAGUCAUCGGCCCCCUACUUUUAAUUAAGUAGGACCAGACCGGUGGCGUUUUUACUAUUAACGUUUUUAACAACUUUGUACUAAACGAUGAAAAUGUGUGUUGAUCUUCGGAUCCUCGCACUUUUCUUUUCUAUACGAAACUAUAGAACAACUCUUAGCAACGGAUAUCUUGGUUCUC